rnacentral:rRNA from 1 species
UACGGAGGGGACUAGCGUUGUUCGGAAUUACUGGGCGUAAAGCGCACGUAGGCGGAUUUGUAAGUCAGGGGUGAAAUCCCGGGGCUCAAGCCCCGGAACCUGCCUUUGAUACUGCAAAUCUCGAGUCCGGAAGAGGUGAGUGGAAUUCCUAGUGUAGAGGUGAAAUUCGUAGAUAUUAGGAAGAACACCAGUGGCGAAGGCGGCUCACUGGUCCGGUACUGACGCUGAGGUGCGAAAGCGAUGGGGAGCAAACAGGG